UGGGGAAUUUUGCGCAAUGGGGGAAACCCUGACGCAGCAACGCCGCGUGCGGGAUGACGGCCCUCGGGUUGUAAACCGCUUUCAGCAGGGAAGAUAUUGACGGUACCUGCAGAAGAAGCUCCGGCUAACUACGUGCCAGCAGCCGCGGUAAUACGUAGGGAGCGAGCGUUAUCCGGAUUCAUUGGGCGUAAAGCGCGCGUAGGCGGCUGCCUAAGCGGAACCUCUAACCCCGGGGCUCAACCUCGGGCCGGGUUCCGAACUGGGCGGCUCGAGUGCGGUAGAGGAGAGCGGAAUUCCCGGUGUAGCGGUGGAAUGCGCAGAUAUCGGGAAGAACACCGAUGGCGAAGGCAGCUCUCUGGGCCGGCACUGACGCUGAGGCGCGAAAGCUGGGGGAGCGAACA
rnacentral:rRNA from 1 species